rnacentral:rRNA from 1 species
UGAAUACGAGACGCUACGGCGUCGAAGCAGUCUAUGUCAUACUUCCAAGAAAAGCUCGCAAUGUCAUAAACAAAUAAUGCCUGUACCAUAACCGACACAGGUGGGUAGGUAGAGUAUACUAAGGGGCGCGAGAUAACUCUCUCUAAGGAACUCGGCAAAAUGACUCCGUAACUUCGGGAGAAGGAGUGCCUUAUUUAUAAGGUUGCAAUAACAAGAUCCAAGCAACUGUUUAUCAAAAACACAGGUCUCCGCUAAGUCGUAAGACGAUGUAUGGGGGCUGACGCCUGCCCAGUGCCAGAAGGUUAAAGAAGUUGGUUAGCAUUCGCGAAGCUGAUAACUGAAGCCCUGGUGAACGGCGGCCGUAACUAUAACGGUCCUAAGGUAGCGAAAUUCCUUGUCGGGUAAGUUCCGACCCGCACGAAAGGCGUAAUGAUUUGGAUACUGUCUCGGAGAGGGGCUCGGUGAAAUAGACUUGUCUGUGAAGAUGCGGACUACCUGCACCUGGACAGAAAGACCCUAUGAAGCUUUACUGUAACUUGAAAUUGAAAUUGGACUUUAUUUGCGCAGCAUAGGUGGGAGGCGUUGAGAGUAUUCUUGCGGGAAUAUUGGAGCCAUCAGUGAGAUACCACUCUUGUAAUGUUAGAUUUCUAACUUUGGAUCAUUAUCUGGUCAAAGAACAGUUUCAGGCGGGCAGUUUGACUGGGGCGGUCGCCUCCCAAAUGGUAACGGAGGCGUACAAAGGUUUCCUCUGAACGGGUAGAAAUCGUAUCUAGAGUGUAAAGGCAUAAGGAAGCUUGACUGUGAGACCUACAAGUCGAGUAGGGACGAAAGUCGGUCUUAGUGAUCUGACGGUGCUGAGUGGAAAGGCCGUCACUCAACGGAUAAAAGUUACUCUAGGAUAACAGGCUGAUCUCCCCCAAGAGUUCACAUCGACGGGGAGGUUUGGCACCUCGAUGUCGGCUCAUCGCAUCCUGGGGCGGUAGUACGUCCCAAGGGUUGGGCUGUUCGCCCAUGAAAGCGGUACGCGAGCUGGGUUCAGAACGUCGUGAGACAGUUCGGUCCAUAUCCGGUGUAGGCGUUAGAAUAUUGAGAGGAGCCUUCUUUAGUACGAGAGGACCGAGAAGGACAUACCUCUGGUGUACCAGUUAUCGUGCCAACGGUAAACGCUGGGUAGCUAUGUAUGGAGAGGAUAACCGCUGAAAGCAUCUAAGUGGGAAGCCCACCUCAAGAUAAGUA